GGAAAAUUGAGAAAAAAAUUUCUUUGAGUAGAGAGAAAAUUGGGAAAUAGAGAGAUUAAAAAAUAGAAAGAAAAAAAUUAUUGUUAUCUCCUUGUAUUUAGAAAGAUUGUUGUAAUUCUCCUACUAUAGUGGAAUCCUCUCAUACUUGCCCGCGGACGUAGCCUAAAGUGGGUGAACUACGUAAAUACUUGUGUCCAUUUUAGCUGCGUUUUCUCAAUUCCAUUAUUUGUAAGCCAAAGUCGACCCACGCGUUUUCCGCCCAACACAGCCCGCCCUAUUGCCAUUGCGAUUUUUGAGAUGGAAAACAUAAUGAGAUUGAUGUUGAAAUCCUAGGGUCGAGACAUAUCACCAGUGAGGGACGUCAUGAAAGAGCAUUGUUGAAUUUUGGGAAUGGAGCUGAGGGACUAGCUGCUUGCUCCAUUUGUAAUUCCUUAUCUUAGCAUCAAGCUCCUUAGACAUAGCUUUAUGGCAAAUAAGAGUUUUAAAUAGAAUUUUUCUGAAACUUGAUUUCGCAGUAAAUGAACGUUCUGGGAGUCGAUGUCUACUACAGGAUGGGCCUGCUGGUGGUUGGUUUAAUAACUGGACUAAAAGUUUUACUAUAGUCAACUCCGGGAAAUUGAUGAAAUCCCACCAAAUCUAGUUUUAUAGCGGUCUAUAAACCCACACUUUUUCGCUUGAUAGAGAAUAUGACUUUGAAACCAACUAAAUAUUGGGAAUGGAGGUGAGAUUAGCUGCUGAAUUUCAUUCCUUAACAAGGUAUCGAGCACCUUAGACAUAACUUUACAGCAAAAAAAGGGUGUUUUGAAAAGAAUUAAUUCUGAAACUUGAUCCACAAUGAGGGACCGUCCCCACUGUCGAUCUCUACUACAGGAGAGGCCCGAGGUUUUGAUGAAUAGAAUUGACAUAUAACUGGUAGAAGCAGAGAUUCACCUAAAGAGCUAUCCCACUCACUAGUAUUGAAUUGACUUGUAAAGUAUUGAUUAAGAACCUGCUCGAUAGUGAUUAUGAAAAUUAAUUUUUUGAUCUUUAGAUAGAAAAGUG
rnacentral:lncRNA from 1 species